rnacentral:lncRNA from 1 species
AACAAAAAGAUCAAACGAAGAGAGAAUCUUGAAAGUAAGUGAGAAGAAUCACCAUACAUAACGUGCACACAAAAUCACAAACUCACAAACUCAAAACCACACGAUAAUUGCAAUGCGAAAAUCAAAGAAUAGUGAUAUAAAAUCCAACAUUAAAUAACAAAGACUACAGACUUUGCCAAACUUCAUACGAAACGUGGAAAUGUGAGGAGUAAGCUCAAUAGAUCCGGCUGCAACAAAAAAAUUAAAUUUAACCGGCACAUAAACAAAAAUCCCGUCUC